rnacentral:lncRNA from 1 species
GACUCAUGCCUGUAAUCCCAGCACUUUGGGAGACCGAGGAGGGAGAUCGAGACCAUCCUGACUAACAUGGUGAAACCCCAUCUCUACUAAAAAUACAAAAAAUUAGCCAGGCUUGGUGGUGUACGCCUGUAGUCCCAGCUACUCGGGGGGCUGAGGCAGGAGAAUCGCUUGAACCCAGGAGGUGGAGGUUGCAGUGAGCUGAGAUCGCGCCACUGCACUCCAGCUUGGGCGACAGAGUGAGACUCCAUCUAAAAAAUACAGCUGUAUCAAAUCUGCUUGUGCUUUGGCCAUCUGAGAGAUCUUAAGUGUGCAACGCAAUGAGGAUGGAGCAACGUAUACACCAAUCAAGACAAAGAACAUGUCCAUUACCCCAAAAAGUUCUCUUACACCCGCUUCCAGGUGAUGCCUCUGGCAACCAUGAGUUUGGCUUGUAGCAUCAAGACUUUACCUGUUCUUGAAUUUCAAUAUAUGGAACCAGGCAGGAGCAUAAUUCAGCUUCUUUUAUUCACAAUUCUUGAGAUUCAGUCAUGCUGUUGUUUGUAUCAGUAGUCCGUGUAUUUUUUAAAUUAGUGAAUCAUAUUCCAUUAUGUAAACGUACCACAACUUCUCACAUUAUUCUGUUGAUGGACACAUGGCCUUUUCCAGUUUUGGUUGUUAUGGGAAAAGCAACUGUAAACAUUCUUAAGACUUUUUGUGGGCAUUAUUGUUUGUUUUUGGUAAAUACCUACUAACAGUGGAAUUGCUGGAUCUUAGGGUUGGUGUAAGUUUACAUUUCUCAGAAACUGCUGAACUGCUUUCCAAAGUAACAUUUUGCACGUAUGAGAGUCUUAAUUCCUCCACAACCACUCCAACAUUGGGUGGUAUUGAUCCAUUUGAUGUUAGCCAUUGGAGUAGUAUGAAAUGCUUUUUGUGAAUGUAAUUUUGGUUUAGCUCAUGAACAAUGGUAUUGACC